CCUCAGAAAGGAGUCAGUCAUUGAGUUGAGGAGUCCAUAUUUUCUAAAUUUUCAACAGGACUGUGCCGACUCGUGUUGCACGCCAUUGACGGAGGAACUGUUCCCCUUCCCGGGUCAAGAACCUGCUAGAGCUCCCCGCUGCCUCCUACGACCGGCGUAACUGCAGCUUGGUUGGCUCGGACAUUCUGGCUCACGCUCGUUAACCCCAUCUCCCAACCCACCACAGGAUUCAGACAAGGUCUAAGCAUCUAGCACAGGCUCAAUAUAGCCUCUUGGUUGAUUAAAAAGUGCUUCUUGAUCAGAAGGACAAUUAAAUGCGUUGGCUGACCAUUGCAAUCCUCUAGAUGACCACGGCUAGUGAAGCCCUUCCCCGCGCUCCACAGGGGCUCAGCCAGGAACCUAGACCAACAGCACGUGUGAAACAGGUGGUGACUGGUAACGCUUCUCCUGCCGUUUAGCUCGCAGAUGGGUCUUAGGUGAGCGUUUGCUACCGGACUC